UAAGAACUUAAAUUAUUCAAAAACUAAAUAAAUAUGUGUUCAAUGUCAAUGAAUAUUGCUAUAUUCUAAAUUUUUUAUUCCAAAAUAGGCAAUAACUGUUUCCUUUAUAGUUGACCCCACAUGUUGUCAUGAAAAUUAAUACUAAAUAAAAAAAGUAGCCAAUGAUCCAUGUUUCCUCUUACAGUCUCUGCUUUAUAUGAAAAGUUAAAUACUAUGAAUAAUUGCAUUGUUCCUUUUAUUGAUAAAGAGUUUCCCAUUAAAAGAGAAAGUAUUCCCAAUUAAUACUUUCCCUUUAAAGUCAUGUGCCCACCCCUUGAUGAGUAAAAUUGUCUGCUGUUAGACAGAUUAAAAUAAUAAAGUAGGGUGCAUCAGGGCACCAAGUUGGGUAACUAACAAGUAAAAUUGUCUAGCUUUACAGUACAUCUUCCAAGGGGGGCUAAAUUUGGAGAGCAGGCCUACCACUUUUAGUUGCAUUGGGGGGGGGCUGCUUUUUUGAACCUCAAUUAAACUAUUACAGUAAUCUGAACGCCUGUUUAUAUGGUCUCCGGGUACUAGGGAAAUCCCCCCCCCCGAGCCACCAUGGCAAGGCAAAAUUAUAUUCAUAUCCUAUUAUAGCAAUUAACUGCCAUGAAAGUGUUUGCAUGGAAAGUUUUGAACUUGUCUUGCCUAGUGGGAUGAUCCAGGUAGCAAGGUCACACCGUCAGGUGGUACAGCAUCUCUAUUACUCAAGAUUAAUUAUAUAAACAUUGCCUGAGGCUAUGUAAAAUUGGUAGGCAUUCCAAUAUAAGAUCAAAUAGUCUCGGGUUUUCCCCAAUCAGGCGAACAAAUUAACAUAGUUGUAAGAUUCUGCAUCUGAUUCAUUGUAAUGAAUAAUGUAGUUCAACAGGAAUGAUUGGCAAUCUAGAAAAGCAAAAUAAAAAAUAAAAUAAAUAAACAGAUUAGAUUUUUAUUAAACAUGUACAGUGACUUGGCAUGUCUGAGAAAUUGAUCUUUGAGAGCCAAAAAAAGGUUGUCAGUGCACUGUUAAUAACCAAUGCACUAAUCUAGGGGAAUCACUAUAAAGUAUAAUUUGACCAAUCCCCCACCAUUGGGUCAACAUAUAAGUUAAAUAAAGUCUAUACGAGUACUUUAGAG